rnacentral:misc_RNA from 1 species
GGAUCAAAAUGGUUGCCCAGAUUCUUAGCAGUUCUGACUUCCAGCAUUUUACUUUUGUAUUAGCAUUCCAAUAUAUAUCAACAUUAUCUCAAAUUUAUUUACAAGAUUUUAAUUUUUUUUUUGCUCAUUGUGUUCAAAGGAAAAUUGAGAGUUUUGAAUGGUUGAGUUCCAAGAAAGCUGGACUUAAUAUAAGUUUUUUUUUUAAGAAUUAUUGUUUGUGCAUUGUGUAUUAUCUUUCUUUCAGGAAGGAAGCCACAUUUUUAAAGAUUUGAACCAUUUUGAAAAUGGAUUCAUUGAAAGUGCAUUUACUAUGAAUGUUAAAGUAGCUCUCACAUAGUUAAUCAAAAUGUUAACAGGUAUGGCUGAACACAAAUAUCUUAUAUAUCAAUGCUCAAUUGUCAGGUAACUGAAAUCUUUCGAUUGGGUUUUACGUGAGGGAAACUUUUUUUUGAGUAAAUGUAAACACCAACUAUUUUGUUAAGUAAUCAUUUGAAUGAUAAACAAUCAGUAUGAUAGUAUCAAAGGGUCCUUUCUUUGACUUUGGUUAUGUUUGCUCAAGUGAGCGAUGUGGCCCAGGGGCCUCUUGCUUUAAUGGAUGUGGGGUGAGUAAUUUAACUCAUACCCAAUUAACAUUAGAUAUAUUUCCACAUUUCUUGCUCUUUUUGUUCUUUAGAACAAACUGAAGGAAAUGAAACCAAAUACACAUUAGUCCUAAUUUCAGUAUUUCUCAAUCAUAGCAUUCCAUACAUGAACAUCACCACGGAAACUCUAUGGAGACUAAACCUACAUUUAGUUUGGAAGUAUAGACUAGAAGUCAUGUGUUAUUCUGAGCAGAUCCAAAAUCAUAAUUAUUUUAACGCAUUUGUGUCUCACCUUUUGUAUUAUCUGUAUGUCUUCCUUUAUCUUACAAGUCUAUAAAGUUGGUCUUUGCAUGGUCUUGUGGACAUUUUUGAUGUUAUUGGUCAUUUUCCUUUUCGGUUUUAUACUCUAUGAAUCGCCACAGUAUAUAUUGCCUUCGAUUUGAGGACCGUUUAUAACAUACACUAUUUGUGAGACAUUUUUUUUCAUAAACCUUUAAAUGAAUUUCUAUUGUUGGUUAUCAACUUACAUUUUUUUUGUGGAUCUCUGGUUAGAUAUCAUGUAUGAUUAGUUCAAAAUGUAAGUUUUUAUUUAAACUCCAUGUCCUUUUUUUCAAUUGUGUACCCAAAGCUUUAUUUGCCAGACAAUCAGGAGACAAACAAAUGUUAGAUAAAAGGUAAGGUCAAUUGACACUUUUUUAACUCACUUUCUAAGAAUUAGGUGUGUACGUUGGGGUUGAUCUAGUAUAUACAUGAUUGUGUGAAGCAUUGAGACCAUAUUGGUGCAUAUUAAUGAGGAAUGUUAGUGCACAAUGCGGAUAUUAAUUUAUUAAAAGUAACUUUAAAUCGGCCGAUUGGAUUGCUUGUAAUUGAUUGUUGUGAAACAAUUAUCACAAGUUGUUUUUAUUUCAUAUUUUACGAUCGUCUUCAGAAAAACUCUGAUUUAUGUAUAAAAAAAAGUUUUUUUCCUUAUUUUCCUUACAUUAUGGUAUGUAUUCUCACUUGGUCUUCCUCUAAAAGACAUCGUAUGUUAGAUUAGAGAGAGAGAGAGAGUCAGUAUUCAGGCUUACCUUUAUUCUAUGCAUAUCAUUGGAGAUGUUUGCUUAUGGCUGUUUUGUACUACUUUACAAUUGUUAUCUUUUUCCGACCAAUUCAUUUUGCCAAAUGUCAUAUAUUUGUUAUCAGUCAAUCAAUAAAUUUGUUUUAAAACU